rnacentral:rRNA from 1 species
GACGAACCGUGCAAACGUUGUUCGGAAUCACUGGGCUUAAAGGGCGCGUAGGCGGGCAAGCAAGUCGAAGGUGAAAUCCCUCGGCUUAACCGAGGAACUGCCGUCCAAACUGCUUCGCUUGAGACCGGGAGAGGUGAGUGGAAUUCCCAGUGUAGCGGUGAAAUGCGUAGAUAUUGGGAGGAACACCAGUGGCGAAGGCGGCUCACUGGACCGGUACUGACGCUGAUGCGCGAAAGCGUGGGGAGCAAACGGG